GUGGGGAAUUUUGGACAAUGGGCGAAAGCCUGAUCCAGCCAUGCCGCGUGCAGGAUGAAGGCCUUCGGGUUGUAAACUGCUUUUGUACGGAACGAAAAGACUCCUUCUAAUAAAGGGGGUCCAUGACGGUACCGUAAGAAUAAGCACCGGCUAACUACGUGCCAGCAGCCGCGGUAAUACGUAGGGUGCAAGCGUUAAUCGGAAUUACUGGGCGUAAAGCGUGCGCAGGCGGUUAUAUAAGACAGAUGUGAAAUCCCCGGGCUCAACCUGGGAACUGCAUUUGUGACUGUAUAGCUAGAGUACGGUAGAGGGGGAUGGAAUUCCGCGUGUAGCAGUGAAAUGCGUAGAUAUGCGGAGGAACACCGAUGGCGAAGGCAAUCCCCUGGGCCUGCACUGACGCUCAUGCACGAAAGCGUGGGGAGCAAACAGGAUUAGAUACCCUAGUAGUCC
rnacentral:rRNA from 1 species